rnacentral:rRNA from 1 species
UACGGAGGGUGCGAGCGUUGUCCGGAAUCACUGGGCGUAAAGGGCGCGUAGGCGGCGCGGGAAGUCCGUGGUGAAAGCCCGAGGCUCAACUUCGGGUCGGCCAUGGAUACUCCUGGGCUCGAGCACUGUAGAGGCAGGUGGAAUUCCGGGUGUAGCGGUGGAAUGCGUAGAGAUCCGGAAGAACACCGGUGGCGAAGGCGGCCUGCUGGGCAGUGACCGCAAUGUCUUAAAAACUGACGCUGAGGC